GCCGUCCUGGUGGAACUGGCAGACACGCCUGGCUUAGACCCAGGUGCCCGUAAGGGUUUGGGGGUUCGACUCCCUCGGACGGUACCA
rnacentral:tRNA from 1 species